CUUUGGGGAAGUUGCUACAAAAUCUCUAUCUAUAAAAAAUUUCGGGGUUUUUAAAUUAGAUGGUUUAUAUGUUCUUAUCACCAGUGACGAUCUUUUUUGGAUCAAAAGUGAUUUUCUUUUCAUGUGACUUAUGGCAGAAUACUUUAAAUGUCAACUUUAUAUUUCCUGAGCUGUACAGGAAAGUAUUCAGAAUGCAUAUACAUGUAUAUACAUCUACUCAAAUCGGCAGUAUUUUUUGCUAAAGCAUCUGCUUAAGGAAAUUUUAAGUUCAGAUGAAAUUUUAAAUAGAGGGAUUAUAAAGCAAUUAUAAUUUUCGUAAUUUUUUUUAUAAACUUAUUCUAAAAACAGAUAAAUUUCAAAGUAUAUCAAGUGAUGUGUGACGUGUUUUUUCCGUGUUAGCUGUUUUUACGCCCGAUAAAGAUUUGCAUAAAAGGAAAUUGAAAGAUAUGAAGCACGUUUCUAUUAAAACUUUUAGUAAACAUUCGGAAGUUACGAUUUUCGACGAAAAAGGGGGCAUGCGAAACACUUAAGCAGGAAGUUUUGAAAUUUUAAAAUGUUAGUAUUUGGACUAUUUCUAUUAUUUACAGGAACAUCGGUACAAAUAAUAAUAAAUACAGAUAAUGAACCAAGAACCUGGAGUGAUGCAAAUUCGAAAUGCAAUCUACUCGGAUCAAACAAAAGUGGAUUAUUUUUUGAACUACCAAAUGAAUAUCAAAACUAUAUACCACCUAAUGGAAAUAUGUAUUGGAUAGCUGCAAUUCAGAUGAGGACAACUCCUUUCAGAUUUAACAAAUGCUUAUAUAUUCGUGG